ACAGGUGAGGUCCUCGGGAA
rnacentral:miRNA from 1 species